rnacentral:rRNA from 1 species
GUCUACGACCAUGCCACUGUGAACAAGCCUGAUCCUGUCUGAUCUCAAAGCUAAGCAAGGUUGGGCCUGAUCAGUACUUGGAUGGGAGACCACCUAAGAAGACCAGGUGCAAGGUCU